rnacentral:rRNA from 1 species
CGCCAGCCCGCUCAGAAACUCAAAGGAAUUGACGGGGGCCCGCACAAGCGGUGGAGCAUGUGGUUUAAUUCGAUGGUACGCGAGGAACCUUACCAGGGCUUGACAUACGUUGGAAGCGCAUCGAAAGGUGCGUGCCGCUUGCGGCCGGCGUACAGGUGCUGCAUGGCUGUCGUCAGCUCGUGCUGUGAAGUGUUGGGUUAAGUCCCGCAACGAGCGCAACCCCCUGCUGCCUGUUGCCACCACGAGAGGUGGGGACUCAGGCGGGACCGCCGGUGACAAACCGGAGGAAGGUGGGGACGACGUCAAGUCAUCAUGGCCCUUAUGUCCUGGGCUACACACGUGCUACAAUGGCCGGUACAGAGCGCAGCGAGGCCGCGAGGCGGAGCGAAUCGCUUAAAGCCGGUCCCAGUACGGAUUGGAGUCUGCAACUCGACUGCGUGAAGUCGGAAUCGCUAGUAAUCGUGAAUCAGAAUGUCACGGUGAAUACGUUCCCGGGCCUU